rnacentral:rRNA from 1 species
CCUACGGGUGGCAGCAGUGAGGAAUAUUGGUCAAUGGGCGGGAGCCUGAACCAGCCAAGCCGCGUGAAGGAAGAAGGCGCCAAGCGUCGUAAACUUCUUUUGUCGGGGAACAAAGGGCGCCACGUGUGGCCUUACGAGUGUACCCGAAGAAAAAGCCUCGGCUAACUCCGUGCCAGCAGCCGCGGUAAUACGGAGGAUGCGAGCGUUACCCGGAUUUAGUGGGGUUAAAGGGUGCGUAGGCGGUCCGGAAAGUCAGCCGUAAAAGCCCGGGGCUCAACCCCGGCGCGCCGUUGAAACUGUCGGACUAGAGACGGCGAGAAGUACGCGGAAUGCGCGGUGUAGCGGUGAAAUGCAUAGAUAUCGCGCAGAACUCCGAUUGCGAAGGCAGCGUACCGGCGCCGGACUGACGCUGAGGCACGAAAGCGUGGGUAUCGAACAGGAUUAGAUACCCGUGUAGUC